GCCUGGAUAGCUCAGUCGCUAAAGCAUCAGACUUUUAAUCUGAGGGUCCAGGGUUCAAGUCCCUGUUCGGGCG
rnacentral:tRNA from 2 species